rnacentral:rRNA from 1 species
AGAGUUUGAUUCUGGCUCAGAACGAACGCUGGCGGCGUGGAUUAGGCAUGCAAGUCGAGCGGGAUCCUUGAAGACUAAAUCUUCGGAUAAGGUCUUCUUGGUGAGAGCGGCGAACGGGUGAGUAACGCGUGGGCAAUCUGCCCUCUUGCCUGGAAUAGCCCUUCGAAAGGAGGGGUAAUGCCGGAUGUAGUCGUCCCGAUACCUAUUGGGACUAUCAAAAGGUGGGGAUCUUCGGACCUGCCGCAAGGGGAUGAGCCCGCGUACUAUCAGCUUGUUGGUGAGGCAAUGGCUCACCAAGGCUAAGACGGUUAGCUGGUCUGAGAGGAUGGUCAGCCACACUGGGACUGAGACACUGCCCAGACUCCUACGGGAGGCUGCAGUCGAGAAUCAUUCACAAUGCACGAAAGUGCGAUGAUGCGACGCCGCGUGGAGGAUGAAGGCCUUCGGGUCGUAAACUCCUGUCAUGAGGGAAAAACCGUCGGUGGGGUAAUACCCCAUCGACCUGAUGGUACCUCAAGAGGAAGCCACGGCUAACUCUGUGCCAGCAGCCGCGGUAACACAGAGGUGGCAAGCGUUGUUCGGAUUUACUGGGCGUAAAGGGUGCGUAGGUGGCAUCGUAUGUCGGAUGUGAAAGCUCACGGCUCAACCGUGGAAAUGCAUCCGAAACUGCGGAGCUAGAGUACUGGAGGGGUGAGCGGAAUUCUUGGUGUAGCGGUGAAAUGCGUAGAUAUCAAGAGGAACGCCGGUGGCGAAGGCGGCUCACUGGACAGAUACUGACACUGAGGCACGAAAGCUGGGGGAGCGAACAGGAUUAGAUACCCUGGUAGUCCCAGCCGUAAACGGCGUGCACUUGGUGUGGGAGGCUUUGUCCCCUUCCGCGCCGGAGCUAACGCGUUAAGUGCACCGCCUGGGGAGUACGGCCGCAAGGCUAAAACUCAAAGGAAUUGACGGGGGCCCGCACAAGCGGUGGAGCAUGUGGCUUAAUUCGAUGCAACGCGAAGAACCUUACCAGGGUUUGACAUGUAGCUGCAAGCCCCCGAAAAGGGGUCGCCUUCGAGGGUGCUACACAGGUGCUGCAUGGCUGUCGUCAGCUCGUGCCGUGAGGUGUUGGGUUAAGUCCCGCAACGAGCGCAACCCUUAUGAUUAGUUGCCACCUACAAGGAAACGCGUAGAGCACUCUAAUCAGACUGCCUGUUAUAAGCAGGAGGAAGGUGGGGAUGACGUCAAGUCAGUAUGGUCCUUAUGCCCUGGGCUGCACACGUGCUACAAUGGGCGGUAUAAUAGGAUGCAAGACCGCGAGGUGGAGCAAAUCCCCAAAAACCGUCCUCAGUUCGGAUUGGAGUCUGCAACUCGACUCCAUGAAGCCGGAAUCGCUAGUAAAGGCGUAUCAGCUACGACGCCUUGAAUACGUUCCCGGGCCUUGUACACACCGCCCGUCACAUCAUGAAAGCCGACUGCACCCGAAGUCGCCGAGCCAAUCUUUCGAGAAGGCAGGUGCCGAAGGUGUGGUUGGUGAUUGGGAUGAAGUCGUAACAAGGUA